GUGUCAUUAGGUUGGUCGUGCCACCGGUACGUACUGGUCUCAGUGAUUCCUCCUUCCUGAAGAACCGUAAUGCCAUUAAUUUGGUGUUGCGGGGAAACAGGACUGUUACUUUGAAAAAAUUAGAGUGUUUAAAGCAAGCUAACGCUUGAAUACAUUAGCAUGGAAUAAUGAAAUAGGACGAUCGAUCCUAUUUUGUUGGUUUCUAGGAUUGACGUA
rnacentral:rRNA from 1 species